rnacentral:rRNA from 1 species
AUUGAACGCUGGCGGCAUGCCUUACACAUGCAAGUCGAACGGCAGCACGGAGCUUGCUCUGGUGGCGAGUGGCGAACGGGUGAGUAAUAUAUCGGAACGUACCCUGGAGUGGGGGAUAACGUAGCGAAAGUUACGCUAAUACCGCAUACGAUCUACGGAUGAAAGUGGGGGAUCGCAAGACCUCAUGCUCGUGGAGCGGCCGAUAUCUGAUUAGCUAGUUGGUAGGGUAAAAGCCUACCAAGGCAUCGAUCAGUAGCUGGUCUGAGAGGACGACCAGCCACACUGGAACUGAGACACGGUCCAGACUCCUACGGGAGGCAGCAGUGGGGAAUUUUGGACAAUGGGCGAAAGCCUGAUCCAGCAAUGCCGCGUGAGUGAAGAAGGCCUUCGGGUUGUAAAGCUCUUUCGUCAGGGAAGAAACGGUGAGGGCUAAUAUCCUUUGCUAAUGACGGUACCUGAAGAAUAAGCACCGGCUAACUACGUGCCAGCAGCCGCGGUAAUACGUAGGGUGCAAGCGUUAAUCGGAAUUACUGGGCGUAAAGCGUGCGCAGGCGGUUUUGUAAGUCUGAUGUGAAAUCCCCGGGCCCAACCUGGGAAUUGCAUUGGAGACUGCAAGGCUAGAAUCUGGCAGAGGGGGGUAGAAUUCCACGUGUAGCAGUGAAAUGCGUAGAUAUGUGGAGGAACACCGAUGGCGAAGGCAGCCCCCUGGGUCAAGAUUGACGCUCAUGCACGAAAGCGUGGGGAGCAAACAGGAUUAGAUACCCUGGUAGUCCACGCCCUAAACGAUGUCUACUAGUUGUCGGGUCUUAAUUGACUUGGUAACGCAGCUAACGCGCGAAGUAGACCGCCUGGGGAGUACGGUCGCAAGAUUAAAACUCAAAGGAAUUGACGGGGACCCGCACAAGCGGUGGAUGAUGUGGAUUAAUUCGAUGCAACGCGAAAAACCUUACCUACCCUUGACAUGGCUGGAAUCCCCGAGAGAUUGGGGAGUGCUCGAAAGAGAACCAGUACACAGGUGCUGCAUGGCUGUCGUCAGCUCGUGUCGUGAGAUGUUGGGUUAAGUCCCGCAACGAGCGCAACCCUUGUCAUUAGUUGCUACGAAAGGGCACUCUAAUGAGACUGCCGGUGACAAACCGGAGGAAGGUGGGGAUGACGUCAAGUCCUCAUGGCCCUUAUGGGUAGGGCUUCACACGUCAUACAAUGGUACAUACAGAGCGCCGCCAACCCGCGAAGGGGAGCUAAUCGCAGAAAGUGUAUCGUAGUCCGGAUUGUAGUCUGCAACUCGACUGCAUGAAGUUGGAAUCGCUAGUAAUCGCGGAUCAGCAUGUCGCGGUGAAUACGUUCCCGGGUCU